rnacentral:rRNA from 1 species
UACGUAGGGGGCAAGCGUUGUCCGGAAUCAUUGGGCGUAAAGAGCGUGUAGGCGGCUUGGUAAGUCCGCUGUGAAAGUCCAGGGCUCAACCCUGGAAUGCCGGUGGAAACUGUCAAGCUUGAGUCCGGAAGAGGCGAGUGGAAUUCCUGGUGUAGCGGUGGAAUGCGCAGAUAUCAGGAGGAACACCAAUGGCGAAGGCAGAUCUCUGGGCCGUAACUGACGCUGAGGAGCGAAAGCAUGGGGAGCGAACAGG